rnacentral:rRNA from 1 species
GACAGAGGGUGCAAACGUUGCUCGGAAUCACUGGGCGUAAAGGGCGUGUAGGCGGGAAGAUAAGUCGGGCGUGAAAUCCCUGGGCUCAACCCAGGAACUGCACUCGAAACUGUUUUUCUUGAGUGUCGGAGAGGAAAGCGGAAUUCCUGGUGUAGAGGUGAAAUUCGUAGAUAUCAGGAGGAACACCAGCGGCGAAGGCGGCUUUCUGGACGAUAACUGACGCUGAGACGCGAAAGCGUGGGGAGCAAACAGG